rnacentral:rRNA from 1 species
UACGUAGGGCGCAAGCGUUAUCCGGAAUUAUUGGGCGUAAAGAGCUCGUAGGCGGUUUGUCGCGUCUGCCGUGAAAGUCCGGGGCUCAACUCCGGAUCUGCGGUGGGUACGGGCAGACUAGAGUGAUGUAGGGGAGACUGGAAUUCCUGGUGUAGCGGUGAAAUGCGCAGAUAUCAGGAGGAACACCGGUAGUCGGAAGGCGGGUCUCUGGGCCAUAACUGACGCUGAGGAGCGAAAGCUGGGGAGCGAACAGG